GCCCGUGAAAUGAAUCUGAGUUCUACCUUAACUCACCCCAUCAAUGAACUUCAACCAAUCAUCCCUAAUGUGGAAAGUUAAGAGCAAUUUAAAGGAGGUACAGCCCCUUUAAAAAAGGAUACAACCUCCCCUAGCGGAUAAAGUCCCCUCUCCCUUUCCUGUAGGCUUUAAAGCAGCCAACAAUAAAGAGUGCGUCAAAGCUCGCCCACCUAAAAAUCCAAAGACAUCACGACUCCCUUACCCCUAACGGGCUAACCUAUACCUAUAGGAGAAUUAAUGCUAAAAUAAGUAACUCGGAGCUCUCCUCUCAGACGCAAACUUACAUCCCCAAUUAUUAACAGACCGACCAAUACUACAACCCCCUACAAGUCUAAAUAUUAACCUUUCUGUUACCCCAACAUCGGAGCGUCCAUUAAGAAAGAUUAAAAUCUGUAAAAGGAACUAGGCAAACUCAGGGCCCGACUGUUUACCAAAAACAUAGCCUUCAGCCAGCCAAGUAUUGAAGGUGAUGCCUGCCCAGUGACACACGUUCAACGGCCGCGGUAUCCUA
rnacentral:rRNA from 1 species